CUGGAUACUAGUUGGCUGAACUGGCUGUGAUGUCACCAGGACCCUUCCCAUGUCAACCCCUGUGAUUCAGCUGGGACCUGUGCUCCCCGCCGCCGCC